GGCCUGAAGGUCAUUCAAGAUGGUCCAAGGUGGUCUAAAGGUCAUCCAAGGUGGUCCAAGGGUCAUUCAUGGUGGGCCAAGAGUUGUCCAAGGUGGUCCAAGAUGGUCCAAGGGUCAUUCAGGACAGUCCAGGGUGGUCUGAGGGUCAUUCCAGGGGGUCCAAGGUGGUCCAAGGUUCCUUCGAGAUGGUCCAAGGGUCAUCCAAGGUGGUCCAGGCUUGUCCAAGAGUCAUCCAUGGUGGGCUGGAGUGGUCCAAGGUGGCCCCAGGUCCAUCCAAGGCGCUUGAAGGUCCAGCCAAGGUUGUCCAAGGUGCUCCAAGGUGAUUGAAGGUCCAGCCAAUGUCAUCUAAGGUUGUCCAACGUGGUCCAGGAUGGCCCCAGGUCCAUCCAAGGUUCUCCAAGGUGGCCCCAGGUCCAUCCAAGGUGGCCCCAAGUCCACCCAAGGUUCUCCAAGGUGGCCCCAGGUCCAUCCAAGGCGCUUGAAGGUCCAGCCAAGGUUGUCCAAGGUCAAUCCAAGGUGCUCCAAGGUGAUUGAAGGUCCAGCCAACGUCAUCCAAGGUUGUCCAACGUGGUCCAAGGUGGCCCCAGGUCCACCCAAGGUUCUCCAAGCUCCAUCCCAGGAGAUCCAAGGUUGUCCAGGCUUCAUCGGAGGUGGUUGAAGGUUCAGCCAAGGUUGCCCAGGCUCCAUCCCAGGAGAUCCAAGGUGGUCCCAGGUCCAUCCAAGGUGGCCCCAGGUCCAUCCAAGGUUCUCCAAGGUCCAUCCCAGGAGAUCCAAGGGGGCCCCAGGUCCACCCAAGGUUCUCCAAAGUUGCCCAAGCUCCAUCCCAGGAGAUCCAAGGUUCUCCAAGGUCCAUCCCAGGAGAUCCAAGGUUGUCCAAGGUCCAUCCAAAGUUCUCCAAGGUGGCCCCAGGUCCAUCCAGGGUUCUCCAAGCUCCAU